UCUCCGUAGGUGAACCUGCGGAGGGAUCAUUACAGAGUUCUCGCCCUCGCGGGUAGAUCUCCCACCCACUGCUAUUGCUACCGUGUUGCUUUGGCGGGCUGCUGGGCCUAGCCCGGCCGCCGGCUCCGGCCGGCGCGCGCCCGCCAGAGGCCCGACAAAUUCUGAUUGUCAGUGUCGUCUGAGUACUAUAUAAUAGUUAAAACUUUCGACAACGGAUCUCUUGGUUCUG
rnacentral:misc_RNA from 1 species